rnacentral:rRNA from 1 species
GAUGAACGCUAGCGGCAGGCCUAAUACAUGCAAGUCGAACGGGAUCCAGAUCAAAGCUUGCUUUGGUCUGGUGAGAGUGGCGCACGGGUGCGUAACGCGUGAGCAACCUACCCUUGUCAGGGGGAUAGCCCGGCGAAAGUCGGAUUAAUACCGCAUGACAUCAUUGAGAGGCAUCUUUCGAUGAUCAAAGAUUUAUCGGACAAGGAUGGGCUCGCGUGACAUUAGCUCGUUGGUAAGGUAACGGCUUACCAAGGCUGCGAUGUCUAGGGGCUCUGAGAGGAGAAUCCCCCACACUGGUACUGAGACACGGACCAGACUCCUACGGGAGGCAGCAGUAAGGAAGAUUGGUCAAGGGACGGAAGUCUGAACCAGCCAUGCCGCGUGCAGGAGGACGGCCCUAUGGGUUGUAAACUGCUUUUAUACGGGAACAAACGUCGGUACGUGUACCGGUCUGAGUGUACCGUAAGAAUAAGGAUCGGCUAACUCCGUG